ACAUCGAAGUUAAGCAUCAUUGGGCGCGGUCAGUACUUGGGUGGGUGACCACCUGGGAACACCGCGUGCCGUU